GCGCUCUUGGUGUAACGGUUACACACCUCUAUACUCAAUUGGAGGAGCCCCGGGUUCGACUCCCGGUGGGCGCC